AACAUCUUGAAGACGUCUUUAAUUGAUGUCUAAAAGAUAUCUUCAAGAUAUCUCAUAAAAGAUAUCUUUCAUACAUCUCUAAAAGAUGUCUUAAAGAUAUCUUUAUGACAUCUCGUAAAAGACAUGUUCUACUUGCGCACGCGCACGGUAACGGCCAAUCAGACUUAGACACAUUUUACUUCAUCGCAACGUCCGCAGUGGCUUCUCCCGCAUCGUAAUGCUCUCUGUCCUUAUUUCUAUGUCCAUGGCGAGAGCUAUAACCUAUAACACGUUGUUCCGUAGCCGUCGUUGAAUCUGGGAUACUGUAAAGUCCGUUUGGGGAAUCAAACGUGUGUGGACGCAUUCGUUUAUCCGUUAGCGGAAUUAUUUUUGGUCUCUGCAACCCGCGUGUGAGAGACAAGUACCAAAUUAACUAAUUGAACUGUGCCUGCUGUGCUAAUAUAAUUAAGUUCAAAAGCAACUUAACCUCAUCAAAGAUCAGUAAAUUGGUUUAUCAUGAAAUGUGUAGUUAAUACCAAAAAUAAUGGAGAUAAGAUUAAUAGUAUCGCAGAGAUUAGGAAACAUAUUACAAGAUGGUUUCAACAUGCUGGUGACAAGAUGCAGUAUUACUAAAAAAAAAAAACAAGUCAAUAACUAUAACGUAUGACUAAUAUUUUUAUAUACAGAUUUUUAUUUUUUUUUUGUUUAUUGUAAAGUGUUAUUGAUAUGUGACAAGAUGCGGUAUUAUUCAAAAAAAGCACAAUAACUGUGACAUAUGACUAAUAUUUUUAUAUAAUAUUUUUAUAUAUUUUUAUACAUGUGUAUUUUUUUUGUUUAUUGUGCAAUGUUACUGUGAUGUAUAUAUUCUACAUUAGUACAAUAGGUAUUUAUUUUAAAAAAAUCACAAUAAUUCUGACUAAGUAAUAUUUUAAUAUAGUCAUUUUUAUUUUUAGUUUAUA